GGCAACCCACUCCAGUCCCCUUCUGCACUGUGGAAGCUUUGUUCUUUUGCUCUUUGCAAUAAAUCUUGCUACUGCUCACUCUUUGCGUCCACACUGCCUUUAUGAGCUGUAACACUCACUGCGAAGGUCUGCAGCUUCACUCCUGAAGCCAGCCAGACUACGAACCCACCGGGAGGAACGAACAACUCCAGAUGCGCCACCUUAAGAGCUGUAACACUCACCGCGAAGGUCCCGCAGCUUCACUCCUGAGCCAGCAAGACCACGAACCCACCAGAAGGAAGAAACUCCGAACACAUCUGAACAUCAGAAGGAACAAACUCUGGACACACUGCCUUUAAGAACUGUAAUACUCACCGUGAGGGCCCGCGGCUUCAUUCUUGAAGUCAGUGAGACCAAGAACCCACCAAUUCCAGACACAGUGGGAUCACAGAGAGAGCCAACAGUCCAGGCCAUGACAAGCUGGCACCCAGCUCUGCUUCACAUGAUCAAACUGCAUCACGGAAGCUGCACACGAUGACACCCUGUCUGGAAAGUUUUUGCCAGAGGGCAAAAGACUGCAAGCAGAAUAUCCCUUUGCCAUUUCUCAUUCAGGACUGGCCGUUGUCUGAAAGCAAACCUCAAGGACAGGACUUCUGGACUCCGCAGCCACUUCAGGCUGCUGCUCCAUCGCAUGAAUUCCAGCAGGUGGCGCUGCACCCCGCGCGGACCCGGCUUGCCUCUCGGCCCCAGGGAGGUCGGUUGAUGAGCAGUCGGGAAGUGGGUCUGCGCGCACCCCGCUGCAGCUGUGGCAAACGCAAACGAUGACACACAGGCUUGACGAGGGCCUUUGUCAGAAGCAAUGGGGAUCUGGCGUCACCGCACAAUGGAAAACAAAGUGCUUCUGCCUGGCUGGCCAGAAUGCACGUUUGCUCACUAUUGAUGCUGGGGCAUUUACAGGCAGAAUGAGUUCAUGUGAAAUUUCAGGAUCUGCCAUGACUCAGAUUCACUUUCUGUAAACCAGAGUCAACAUUACAUUUCCCUUUACUCUGGGCCAUUCCUUGAAUUUUUAGGUCACCAGUUGUUUUUGUACUAACUGAAGGGAUUUGAGUAUUUCACAAGCACCUUAUUUUUAUUAGCAUUUUUAGGGCAUUACCAAUUUGGGACGGAUCUGUAGUGUGAGAGAUUGUUGUCACUCUUAGCUCCAAACAUAGGUUGACUUUAUAUAUUAUUUACAUGUUCAGAAUUAUACUGUGUAGAAAUUCAAAUGAAACUUGCAAAAUACUUUUCUGGCAGGAAGCCCUGGAGAGGAUCGUUCAUGGAAACAAGGAUGACGACUGGGGUAAGAAAUGCAGGUGACUCGUGAGUGGUCAGGGAGUGGAAGAGAAGACGGCUGGAAGGUUUUAGCAUUCAGAAAAAAAAUGGAGACAACUAGAGUUGAUCUGAAGAUUAUGGCAGAAUUCAAUAUUGGGGGAAAGAAACAAGAUGGGGGUUAGAAAUUAGAAACAGCAGAGCUCCACAGGUUGGAAAGGUUGGAAAGGAUUUGAGCAAGAGAACAAGGAGCCUGCUAAUAGCACCCUGGGUUUACAUCAAGAGAAGCACCUGGAGAGAAUUAACUCGGGAGGAGGUGGGGGCAUGGGAAACCUUUUCAUCUCCAAGAGCGGGCAGGAACAGCAGCUGGCCUGAACUUGAAGGUACACCAGGUAGCUUGCGUGGGCCAGGAGAAGGUGAUUCUCUUCUAUGCCUCUCUCCAACGCCCUGCUUCUGAUGCUGCUCCUCUACCUGUAUUGAGGGGAAGAUACAUCCCUAAGAAGUUCCCUGAACCCCAUUCUUUGUUGUGGCUAACUGGUCCCCUUGGAAUUUUUCUACUAAUUUUCAAUUCCCCCUCUCACCUGGUGAAAUCUUGAAUCUUACUGUUCAAUAAAAGUUCUUCUACCGAAA
ensembl:lncRNA LINC01554 long intergenic non-protein coding RNA 1554